rnacentral:rRNA from 1 species
AGUGAACGCUGGCGGUAGGCCUAACACAUGCAAGUCGAACGGCAGCACAGUAAGAGCUUGCUCUUACGGGUGGCGAGUGGCGGACGGGUGAGGAAUACAUCGGAAUCUACUUUUUCGUGGGGGAUAACGUAGGGAAACUUACGCUAAUACCGCAUACUACCUACGGGUGAAAGCAGGGGAUCUUCGGACCUUGCGCGAUUGAAUGAGCCGAUGUCGGAUUAGCUAGUUGGCGGGGUAAAGGCCCACCAAGGCGACGAUCCGUAGCUGGUCUGAGAGGAUGAUCAGCCACACUGGAACUGAGACACGGUCCAGACUCCUACGGGAGGCGGCAGUGGGGAAUAUUGGACAAUGGGCGCAAGCCUGAUCCAGCCAUACCGCGUGGGUGAAGAAGGCCUGCGGGUUGUAAAGCCCUUUUGUUGGGAAAGAAAAGCAGCAGGUUAAUACCCCGCUGUUCUGACGGUACCCAAAGAAUAAGCACCGGCUAACUUCGU